AAGACCUUAUGCUUUUGGAGCGGCCGAUGUCUGAUUAGCUAGUUGGUGGGGUAAUUGCCUACCAAGGCGACGAUCAGUAGUUGGUCUGAGAGGACGACCAGCCACACUGGGACUGAGACACGGCCCAGACUCCUACGGGAGGCAGCAGUGGGGAAUUUUGGACAAUGGGCGCAAGCCUGAUCCAGCAAUGCCGCGUGAGUGAAGAAGGCCUUCGGGUUGUAAAGCUCUUUCAGUUGAGAAGAGAAGAUUGUAACUAAUAAUUACAGUUCAUGACGGUAUCAACAGAAGAAGCACCGGCUAACUACGUGCCAGCAGCCGCGGUAAUACGUAGGGUGCGAGCGUUAAUCGGAAUUACUGGGCGUAAAGGGUGCGCAGGCGGUUUUGUAAGUCAGAUGUGAAAUCCCCGGGCUUAACCUGGGAACU
rnacentral:rRNA from 1 species